AUACNUGCAAGUCGAGCGGANAGAUGGGAGCUUGCUCCCUGAUGUUAGCGGCGGACGGGUGAGUAACACGUGGGUAACCUGCCUGUAAGACUGGGAUAACUCCGGGAAACCGGGGCUAAUACCGGAUGGUUGUCUGAACCGCAUGGUUCAGACAUAAAAGGUGGCUUCGGCUACCACUUACAGAUGGACCCGCGGCGCAUUAGCUAGUUGGUGAGGUAACGGCUCACCAAGGCGACGAUGCGUAGCCGACCUGAGAGGGUGAUCGGCCACACUGGGACUGANACACGGCCCAAACUCCUACGGGAGGCAGCAGUAGGGAAUCUUCCGCAAUGGACGAAAGUCUGACGGAGCAACGCCGCGUGAGUGAUGAAGGUUUUCGGAUCGUAAAGCUCUGUUGUUAGGGAAUAACAAGUGCCGUUCAAAUAGGGNGGCACCUUGACGGUACCUAACCAGAAAGCCUGGGCUAAAUAGGUGCCACCAACCUCGGUAAUAGNUAGAUGGUAAGCGUAGUCGGGAAUUAUUGNCCGUAAAGGGCUNAU
rnacentral:rRNA from 1 species